UGGUGAAUCGCCAAGUGGUAAGGCAAUGGUUUUUGGAACCAUCAUUCAAAAGUUCGAAUCUUUUUUCACCAG
rnacentral:tRNA from 1 species